rnacentral:rRNA from 12 species
GUGUAUAACAAAACUGGCCACACGAUCCCAUCAGAUCCUGGAAGCUAAGCAGGACCGAGCCUGGUUAGUGGAUGGGAGACCACCUGGGAAGACCAGCGGCAGUUACGCUCA